AUGAACGAUGUGGACGUCGGGAAGCAGAUCCAGCAGAUGGUCCGGUUCAUCCAGCAGGAGGCCCAGGAGAAAGCCAGCGAGAUCUCCGUCGCCGCAGAGGAGGUCUGUACUCUAUCUAUCACCGUGUCGACCGAUCGAUCCUCUGCAUUAAUCUGUUCAUUCAACUUUAAAAGGUCGAGGAUGAAUCAAUCUGAAUAUCUGAUCCCUGGCUGGCUGCAGGAUUUCAACAUAGAGAAGCUGCAGCUGGUGGAGUCGGAGAAGAGGAAGAUCAGGCAGGAGUACGAGCGCAAGCAGAAGCAGGUGGACAUCCGCAGGAAGAUCGAGUACUCGAUGGAGCUGAACGCGGCGCGCAUCAAGGUGCUGCAGGCGCAGGAGGACGUCGUGGGCGAGAUGAAGGAGAACGCGUCCAAGACGCUCGUCCGCGUCACCAAGGACACCAACGUCUACCGGAAGAUCCUCAAGGGCCUCAUCGUGCAGAGCCUGCUCCGGCUGCGGGAGUCGUCGGUGGUGCUGCGGUGCAGGGAGGCGGACCGCGUCCACGUGGAGCCGGUGCUGGAGGCGGCCAAGAAGGAGUACGCCGAGAAGCUCAAGGUGAACCUCCCCAAGAUCAUCAUCGACGGCAAGGUCCACCUCCCGCCGCAGAGGGCCAACGACGCCGCCCACGGACCCGCCUGCUCUGGGGGCGUGGUGCUGGCGUCGCAGGACGGCAAGAUCGUCUGCGACAACACGCUGGACACCAGGGUGGAUGUUUGCUUCAGGCAAAAGCUUCCUGAGAUCAGGAAGAAACUCUACGGUCAGCAAGUGUCACAAUAA
rnacentral:rRNA from 1 species